rnacentral:rRNA from 1 species
CGAGCGGUCGUAUUAAUUCAUCAUCGCCUCACGGCUAACUACGCGUGGCAACGUACAUUUUGGUUCGAAAAUCUUUCGCAAACUUGUCUUAUCCCGGAUUAACCCCUUUUUCCGAAAGUUUUUCCGACCAAAAAUCGGCCUGCGUCUAAUUAACUCACCCGUGAGCCGCUGACUUAUUACGGCGCCGAUCCGACUUGGGUCUGUUAGGAUGACCGCCCCCUUUGGCUCUGAGCCAGGAUCAAACUCUAUCCGGGAGGCACCAGGGGGGAAUAUUGAACAAGGGGGGCAACCCUGAUCCACCCUUGCCGCGGGAGUGAUGAAGGCCCUAGGGUUGUAAAGUUCUUUUGUGCGGAAAAAUAAUGACGGUACCGCAAGAAUUAACCCCCGGCUAACUUCGGGCCACCAGCCGCGGUAAUACAAAGGGGGCUAGCGUUGCUCGGAAUUCACUGGGCGUAAAGGGGUGCGUAGGCGGGUCUUUAAGUCAGGGGUGAAAUCCUGGAACCUCAACUCCAGAACUUGCCUUUGAUACUGAAAAUCUUGAGUCCGGAAGAGGUGAGUGGAACCUGCGAGUGUAGAGGUGAAAUUCGUAGAUAUUCGCAAGAACACCAGUGCCGAAGGCGGCUCACUGGCCCCGGUACUGACGCUGAGGCACGAAAGCGUUGGGGGAGCAAACGAGGAUUAGAUACCCUGGUUAGUCCACGCCGUAAACGAUGAAUGCCAGCCGUUAGUGGGGUUUACUCACUAGUGGCGCAGCUAACGCUUUAAGCAUUCCGCCUGGGGAGUACGGUCGCAAGAUUAAAACUCAAAGGAAUUGACGGGGGCCCGCACAAGCGGUGGAGCAUGGUGGUUUAAUUCGACGCAACGCGCAGAACCUUACCAGCCCUUGACAUGUCCAGGACCGGUCGCAGAGAUGUGACCCUCUCUCCGGAGCCUGGAGCACAGGUGCUGCAUGGCUGUCGUCAGCUCGUGUCGUGAGAUGUUGGGUUAAGUCCCGCAACGAGCGCAACCCCCGUCCUUAGUUGCUACCAUUUAGUUGAGCACUCUAAGGAGACUGCCGGUGAUAAGCCGCGAGGAAGGUGGGGAUGACGUCAAGUCCUCAUGGCCCUUACGGGCUGGGCUACACACGUGCUACAAUGGCGGUGACAAUGGGAUGCUAAGGGGCGACCCUUCGCAAAUCUCAAAAAGCCGUCUCAGUUCGGAUUGGGCUCUGCAACUCGAGCCCAUGAAGUUGGAAUCGCUAGUAAUCGUGGAUCAGCACGCCACGGUGAAUACGUUCCCGGGCCUUGUACACACCGCCCGUCACACCAUGGGAGUUGGUUUUACCUGAAGACGGUGCGCUAACCCGCAAGGGAGGCAGCCGG